AACGAACGCUGGCGGCAGGCCUAACACAUGCAAGUCGAACGCCCUAGCAAUAGGGAGUGGCGCACGGGUGAGUAACGCGUGGGAAUGUACCCUUGGGUGCGGAACAACGUCGGGAAACUGACGCUAAUACCGCAUAAUAUCUACGGAUCAAAGAUUUAUCGCCCAAGGAUCAGCCCGCGUAAGAUUAGGUAGUUGGUGGG
rnacentral:rRNA from 1 species